UUUGCAGGAAGUUUCCAUACUUCUUCAGUUCAGUCGGUAGAGGGGGGGGGUUGGAGGGAAGCGGGGCUGAAUCAUCCGAAAGGGUUUUUUCUUUUUCUUUUUUAACCCAGUUCGAGAAUUUCCAACCGCAUCUUCACCCAAGUGUUUGGAGAGGAGUCCCCGAGCGAUGCGUCCAUCCGUCUGAAGAAACGCCCACCGAUGACCCCUAGAGCCUCCGGAGGGGGUUGCUGGGGAUGUGUAGCUUGGGGAGUCUCACUGGGUUUGUGGCCACAAGGGAGAAUCCCAGCAGUCAUAGGCUCAAUCCUGAGCUCUCAACAGCUUGAGAACCUACACUGUGAGCCACUGCAACUUCGGCAGUUCAUCAGCAUGGGGAGAGGGGACAAGGAAGAACGGGACAUCCCUAGCUCAUAAGAAUAAAAAGUGCAUUACAGAGCGCAGGAUCUACCACCAAAUGGAUACUCUAGUGUCCUUGGACUCCUGGAAGGAGAACUUUCUUCUUGGCUGGAUCCUGGUACAUAUAACUGAUUUGGGUAACAAUUUGAGAAUUCUGUGAUUUUACUUUCCAAUCUCUGCAGCUGUUAAACCUCCUGGAAAAACUGGAAACGUGCCUUACAUGAAAACGUGUGAAUCAGGUGGUUUCAUCUAUUUCAUUUGUUUUCUUCAUAUAGAUAUCAAUUAUUGUCAUUCAAUUGCUCUUGACAUUAUUUUUGGUUACUAUGGGCCAUAUACUGGCACUUUGUCUCUCACCAAGUAGCACCACACCCCGCAAGUUGUACCCUUUGGUUCAAUGGCAUAAAUCACAGAACAAGACAUUACUCAACAGGAGUAAAGAUCUCAUGGCUCUGAUGGACAAGCCUCUAAGUAAGAGGAAUGAAUUUUGCUAAUGAACAACGUGCAGAGGUUUGGACUGGGAGUCAGGGAAAGGAAAGAGAGGGUGGUGGUGAGGUGCUUAAACCAACAUUUUCCAAACCUUAAAACAGGUGCAGGUUGUAGGGCCAAAUCCAAUGGGUAUAAACCAGUGUAAUUCCAAAGAAGUCAAUAGCUCUACGCUGAUUCACAUCAUCUAAAGAUCCGUCCCAGUUUUUAACUGUAUCCUUCCUUCCUUCCUUCCUUCCGUUUUAUCCUUACUCCUUAUUAUGGACUAAGUUAAAUGGAAGCUGAAAAAGAAAAAAAUAGGUUUGGUUUCUGCCCUUUUCUCUUCUCCCCUCCCU
rnacentral:lncRNA from 1 species